rnacentral:rRNA from 1 species
UACGGAGGGGGCUAGCGUUGUUCGGAAUUACUGGGCGUAAAGGGCUCGUAGGCGCCAACUAAGUCAUACGUGAAAUCCCUCGGCUUAACCGGGGAACUGCGUCUGAUACUGGAUGGCUUGAGUUCGGGAGAGGGAUGUGGAAUUCCAGGUGUAGCGGUGAAAUGCGUAGAUAUCUGGAGGAACACCGGUGGCGAAGGCGACAUCCUGGACCGGUAUUGACGCUGAGGCGCGAAAGCGUGGGGAGCAAACAGG